rnacentral:rRNA from 1 species
AGAGUUUUGAUCCUGGCUCAGGACGAACGCUGKCGGCGUGCUUAACACAUGCAAGUCGAGCGAGAUCCAACCAGUGGCAACACUGGGGAAGAUCUAGCGGCGAACGGGUGAGUAACACGUGAGCAACCUGCCCCGAAGACUGGGAUAACACCGGGAAACCGGUGCUAAUACCGGAUAUCCCCACGAGACCGCAUGGUUUUGUGAGGAAAUGAAUUUCGCUUUGGGAGGGGCUCGCGGGCUAUCAGCUUGUUGGUGGGGUAACGGCUCACCAAGGCGACGACGGCUAGCUGGUCUGAGAGGACGACCAGCCACACUGGGACUGAGACACGGCCCAGACUCCUACGGGAGGCAGCAGUGGGGAAUCUUGCGCAAUGGGCGAAAGCCUGACGCAGCAACGCCGCGUGGGGGAUGAAGGCCUUCGGGUUGUAAACCCCUUUCAGCAGGGACGAAAUUGACGGUACCUGCAGAAGAAGCCCCGGCCAACUACGUGCCAGCAGCCGCGGUAAUACGUAGGGGGCGAGCGUUGUCCGGAUUCAUUGGGCGUAAAGAGCUCGUAGGCGGCUUGGCAAGCCGGGUGUGAAAACUCCAGGCUCAACCUGGAGACGCCACCCGGGACUGCUAUGGCUAGAGUCCGGUAGGGGAUCACGGAAUUCCUGGUGUAGCGGUGAAAUGCGCAGAUAUCAGGAGGAACACCGGUGGCGAAGGCGGUGAUCUGGGCCGGCACUGACGCUGAGGAGCGAAAGCGUGGGUAGCAAACAGGAUUAGAUACCCUGGUAGUCCACGCCGUAAACGUUGGGCACUAGGUGUGGGGCCUUAUCAACGGGUUCCGUGCCGUAGCUAACGCAUUAAGUGCCCCGCCUGGGGAGUACGGCCGCAAGGCUAAAACUCAAAGGAAUUGACGGGGGCCCGCACAAGCGGCGGAGCAUGUGGCUUAAUUCGAUGCAACGCGAAGAACCUUACCUGGGUUGAACUACGCAGGAAAAGCCACAGAGAUGUGGUGUCCGAAAGGGCCUGCGAUAGGUGGUGCAUGGC